rnacentral:rRNA from 1 species
UACGGAGGGUGCAAGCGUUGUCCGGAUUUAUUGGGUUUAAAGGGUGCGUAGGCGGCUUUUUAAGUCAGUGGUGAAAUACAGCAGCUCAACUGUUGAGGUGCCAUUGAUACUGAGAGGCUUGAGUACAGAUGAGGUAGGCGGAAUUUAUGGUGUAGCGGUGAAAUGCAUAGAUACCAUAAAGAACACCGAUUGCGAAGGCAGCUUACUAAGCUGUAACUGACGCUGAGGCAACGAAAAGCGUGGGGGAGCGAACAGG